rnacentral:misc_RNA from 1 species
GAUGAAGAACGCAGCGAAAUGCGAUAAGUAAUGCGAAUUGCAGAAUUUCCGUGAGUCAUCGAAUCUUUGAACGCACAUUGCGCCCGCCAGUAUUCUGGCGGGCAUGCCUGUCUGAGCGUCAUUUCAACCCUCAUGCCCCUAGGGCGUGGUGUUGGGGAUCGGCCAAAGCCCGCGAGGGACGGCCGGCCCCUAAAUCUAGUGGCGGACCCGUCGUGGCCUCCUCUGCGAAGUAGUGAUAUUCCGCAUCGGAGAGCGAUGAGCCCCUGCCGUUAAACCCCCAACUUUCCAAGGUUGACCUCAGAUCAGGUAGGAAUACCCGCUGAACUUAAGCAUAUCAAUAAGCGGAGGA